GAAAAGGGAGAGGGUGAGAGAGAAUUACUGAGCAGUCUCUCCAGUGAUCACAGAGCCCUACACAGGGCUCGGUCUUAGGACCCUGAGAUCAUGACGUAAGGGGAAACCAGGUGUUGAACACUUAACCUACUGAGUCACUCAGCAAUACUGUAUGGUCAAGAAAUAGAAGCAAAGGCUGAGAAUUGGAAGAUUGCUCCACUAUUGAGAAUUUUCUAAAAAGUUCCACAAAUAAAAAAGUUCUGUGUGUCCUGGUGAGUGACAAUUAAGUGCAUCCCUUUUCAAAGUGGGAGAAAUGUACCUAAGGCCAAGACAAUCAAGAAAAAAAUAGAGCAAUCACAGAUGGGAGCAAUAUUACUCAAUGUUGUCUACAAACACCUGCACCUGCCUUAUCAAAGACAUCAACAAAAUUUAUUGGGGCAGCUAAUUAUUUCAAGUACCAUUGGAUAAGAAGCUUUUGCACAGCAAAGGAUACAGUCAACAAAACUCAAAGACAACCUACAGAAUGGGAGAAGAUAUUUGCAAAUGACAUAUCAGAUA